rnacentral:rRNA from 1 species
AUUGAACGCUGGCGGCAGGCCUAACACAUGCAAGUAGAGCGCGCGGCGGACGGGUGAGUAAUGUAUGGGAAUCUGCCCGAUAGAGGGGGAUAAAUACUGGCAACGGUUGCUAAUACCGCAUACUAUCGGAUGAACCCAUCUGGGAUUAGCUAGUAGGUGGGGUAAAGGCUCACCUAGGCGACGAUCUCUAGCUGGUCUGAGAGGAUGAUCAGCCACACUGGGACUGAGACACGGCCCAGACGCCUACGGGAGGCAGCAGUGGGGAAUAUUGCACAAUGGGCGCAAGCCUGAUGCAGCCAUGCCGCGUGUAUGAAGAAGGCCUUAGGGUUGUAAAGUACUUUCAGCGGGGAGGCGUUACCCGCAGAAGAAGCACCGGCUAACUCCGUGCCAGCCGCAGCGGUAAUAC